AGUGAACGCUGGCGGCAGGCCUAACACAUGCAAGUCGAACGAGUGGCGGACGGGUGAGGAAUAUCUCGGCAUCUGCCCUGUCGAGGGGGAUAACGAAGGGAAACUUACGCUAAUACCGCAUACUAUCAGAUGAGCCUAGGUGGGAUUAGCUAGUUGGUGGGGUAAAGGCCUACCAAGGCGACGAUCCGUAACUGGUCUGAGAGGAUGAUAAGGCACACUGGAACUGAGACACGGUCCAGACUACUACGGGAGGCAGCAGUGGGGAAUAUUGCACAAUGGGCGCAAGCCUGAUCCAGCCAUUCCGCGUGGGUGAAGAAGGCCUUCGGGUUGUAAAGCCCUUUUGUUGGGAAAGCGGUACCCAAAGAAUAAGCACCGGCUAACUUCGUGCCAGCCGCCGCGGUAAUAC
rnacentral:rRNA from 1 species